UGAGCAAUCUGCCCUUCACUUCGGGAUAACUCCGGGAAACCGGUGCUAAUACCGAAUACGACCACCGAUGGCAUCGUCUGGUGGUGGAAAGUUCCGGCGGUGAAGGAUGAGCUCGCGGCCUAUCAGCUUGUUGGUGGGGUAAUGGCCCACCAAGGCGACGACGGGUAGCCGGCCUGAGAGGACGAUCAGCCACA
rnacentral:rRNA from 1 species